rnacentral:rRNA from 1 species
CGGCAGGCCUAACACAUGCAAGUCGAACGGUAGCACAGAGAGCUUGCUCUCGGGUGACGAGUGGCGGACGGGUGAGUAAUGUCUGGGAAACUGCCUGAUGGAGGGGGAUAACUACUGGAAACGGUAGCUAAUACCGCAUAACGUCGCAAGACCAAAGAGGGGGACCUUCGGGCCUCUUGCCAUCAGAUGUGCCCAGAUGGGAUUAGCUAGUAGGUGGGGUAAUGGCUCACCUAGGCGACGAUCCCUAGCUGGUCUGAGAGGAUGACCAGCCACACUGGAACUGAGACACGGUCCAGACUCCUACGGGAGGCAGCAGUGGGGAAUAUUGCACAAUGGGCGCAAGCCUGAUGCAGCCAUGCCGCGUGUAUGAAGAAGGCCUUCGGGUUGUAAAGUACUUUCAGCGGGGAGGAAGGUGUUGCGGUUAAUAACCGCAGCAAUUGACGUUACCCGCAGAAGAAGCACCGGCUAACUCCGUGCCAGCAGCCGCGGUAAUACGGAGGGUGCAAGCGUUAAUCGGAAUUACUGGGCGUAAAGCGCACGCAGGCGGUCUGUUAAGUCGGAUGUGAAAUCCCCGGGCUCAACCUGGGAACUGCAUUCGAAACUGGCAGGCUAGAGUCUUGUAGAGGGGGGUAGAAUUCCAGGUGUAGCGGUGAAAUGCGUAGAGAUCUGGAGGAAUACCGGUGGCGAAGGCGGCCCCCUGGACAAAGACUGACGCUCAGGUGCGAAAGCGUGGGGAGCAAACAGGAUUAGAUACCCUGGUAGUCCACGCCGUAAACGAUGUCCACUUGGAGGUGUUUCCCUUGAGGAUGGCUUCCGGAGCUAACCCGUUAAGUCGACCGCCUGGGGAGUACGGCCGCAAGGUUAAAACUCAAAUGAAUUGACGGGGGCCCGCACAAGCGGUGGAGCAUGUGGUUUAAUUCGAUGCAACGCGAAGAACCUUACCUACUCUUGACAUCCAGAGAACUUUCCAGAGAUGGAUUGGUGCCUUCGGAAACUCUGAGACAGGUGCUGCAUGGCUGUCGUCAGCUCGUGUUGUGAAAUGUUGGGUUAAGUCCCGCAACGAGCGCAACCCUUAUCCUUUGUUGCCAGCGGUCCGGCCGGGAACUCAAAGGAGACUGCCAGUGAUAAACUGGAGGAAGGUGGGGAUGACGUCAAGUCAUCAUGGCCCUUACGAGUAGGGCUACACACGUGCUACAAUGGCGCAUACAAAGAGAAGCGACCUCGCGAGAGCAAGCGGACCUCAUAAAGUGCGUCGUAGUCCGGAUUGGAGUCUGCAACUCGACUCCAUGAAGUCGGAAUCGCUAGUAAUCGUAGAUCAGAAUGCUACGGUGAAUACGUUCCCGGGCCUUGUACACACCGCCCGUCACACCAUGGGAGUGGGUUGCAAAAGAAGUAGGUAGCUUAACCUUCGGGAGGGCGCUUACCACUUUGUGAUUCAUGACUGGGGUGAAGU